UGGGGAAUCUUGGACAAUGGGGGCAACCCUGAUCCAGCCAUGCCGCGUGAGUGAUGAAGGCCUUAGGGUCGUAAAGCUCUUUCGCCUGUGAAGAUAAUGACGGUAGCAGGUAAAGAAACCCCGGCUAACUCCGUGCCAGCAGCCGCGGUAAUACGGAGGGGGUUAGCGUUGUUCGGAAUUACUGGGCGUAAAGCGCACGUAGGCGGACCAGAAAGUUGGGGGUGAAAUCCCGGGGGCUCAACCCCGGAACUGCCUCCAAAACUAUUGGUCUAGAGUUCGAGAGAGGUGAGUGGAAUUCCAAGUGUAGAGGUGAAAUUCGUAGAUAUUUGGAGGAACACCAGUGGCGAAGGCGGCUCACUGGCUCGAUACUGACGCUGAGGUGCGAAAGUGUGGGGAGCAAACAGGAUUAGAUACCCUGGUAGUCCACACCGUAAAACGAUGAAUGCCAGUCGUCGGGUAGCAUGCUAUUCGGUGACACACCUAACGGAUUAAGCAUUCCGCCUGGGGAGUACGGUCGCAAGAUUAAAACCUCAAAGGAA
rnacentral:rRNA from 1 species